rnacentral:rRNA from 1 species
GAUGAACGCUGGCGGCGUGCCUAAUACAUGCAGGUCGAGCGAACAGACGAGGAGCUUGCUCCUCUGACGUUAGCGGCGGACGGGUGAGUAACACGUGGAUAACCUACCUAUAAGACUGGGAUAACUUCGGGAAACCGGAGCUAAUACCGGAUAUAUAUUGAACCGCAUGGUUCAAUAGUGAAAGACGGUUUUGCUGUCACUUAUAGAUGGAUCCGCGCCGCAUUAGCUAGUUGGUAAGGUAACGGCUUACCAAGGCAACGAUGCGUAGCCGACCUGAGAGGGUGAUCGGCCACACUGGAACUGAGACACGGUCCAGACUCCUACGGGAGGCAGCAGUAGGGAAUCUUCCGCAAUGGGCGAAAGCCUGACGGAGCAACGCCGCGUGAGUGAUGAAGGUCUUCGGAUCGUAAAACUCUGUUAUUAGGGAAGAACAAAUGUGUAAGUAACUAUGCACGUCUUGACGGUACCUAAUCAGAAAGCCACGGCUAACUACGUG